CUCCUUUCUACCAGAGCUAGCUGCUGCGCUGCUGCCUCAACCGCACCCACGUACUUCCUCAAAUCCCUACAGCCCACACUGGAGCCAACUUUGCUGGAUCUGGAUCAGAAGAGGGGUCUCAAAUUGCUCCCGGGGGCGCGCCCUGAAGGGCGUGGUGAGGACGAAGCCCCGCCCAGCGAUCUGAGCUGGCUGCUCCAGCAGAGGCCCACAUCAAAACCCCUAGGAAAAAAGAUGUGAGGACGCAGAUUACUGAGGACUGCUACAAUCAAGUUUUAAAACUCCGUGGUAAGAAAACACAGCAUAAGGGGCAGGUCUUUCCUUGAACCUGGAGCUAGGCCAGCAGCUACGAAGUCUCAGGGAUCCUUCUGCCUUUACCCACUAACAACAGUGGAGGUAGGUGUACCUGUACGGCUACAUCUAGCUUUUAUAAUGUGUGUACUGGAUUCGAACUUAGGUCCUCAUCCCUGCACAGCAAGUACCCCCCACCCACUGAACCACCCCACAGCUGUUUUCUAGUACUUGCGGUCCCUCUGUACUUUGGUUGUGUCUGAAUUAUUAUACACACUGCAGACAGACUUUAUGACUAUAUAUCCUUGCCUAUGAUUGUUACUUCCUGGUUUGUCUCUGUCACUGUUUGUAUGGUACUCAUCCUAAUAGGUGUGAGGUGUCCUCUCACUGUGUGAAAUGUUUUGAUUCACAUUUCACCAUGAUUCACUAAUCACACAGAAUUUUCGUACACAUCUGCUGUCGGCCAUUUGUAUUUCUUUAAUGGGAAAUUUUCUCCUCAUGCUUUUGUCUAUACUAAAAGUAUGUUUGUUUUUGUGUAUCUGCUUUGUAGUUAAGUUAUUGGAAUUCUUUUUGCCUUUGAAUAUUAUUGGCCCCUUAUCAGAUUUUUGGGGUGCAGAUAUUCUACAUUCUGUAGCUCUUUUGCCGUGGUGUUUAUGGUGCAUAAGGUUUCAAUUCUGAUGCAGACUUGUCUGUUUUUGCUUUUUUUGCACAGGCUUCUGGUAUUAUGCUGAAGAAUUCAUAGUGAAGACAAUCAUGACAUUUUUCCAGUAUGCUUUCUUUCAGGAUACAUACACGCAUGUACACACGUGCGCGUUUGUGUGUAUGCUGGGGAUCAAACCCAGGCCUCGCUCAUGUUGGGGAAACAUUCUACUAUUCAGCUACCCACUGUCAGAUGUUACCUUCUUUUUCCCCAUUACAUGAUCUAGCAUUUAUUAGUACAUUGGCC
ensembl:lncRNA